rnacentral:rRNA from 1 species
UAAGGAAUAUUGGUCAAUGGACGCAAGUCUGAACCAGCCAUGCCGCGUGAAGGAUGAAGGUCCUCUGGAUUGUAAACUUCUUUUAUCUGGGACGAAAACGGGAUUUUUAUCUCAAUUGACGGUACCAGAGGAAUAAGCACCGGCUAACUCCGUGCCAGCAGCCGCGGUAAUACGGAGGGUGCGAGCGUUAUCCGGAUUUACUGGGUUUAAAGGGUGCGUAGGUGGGCUUAUAAGUCAGUGGUGAAAUCUCCGAGCUUAACUUGGAAACUGCCGUUGAUACUAUAGGUCUUGAAUUAUCUGGAUGUAAGCGGAAUAUGUCAUGUAGCGGUGAAAUGCUUAGAUAUGACAUAGAACACAAAUUGCGAAGGCAGCUUACUACAUAUAAAUUGACGCUGAGGCACGAAAGCGUGGGGAUCAAAC